rnacentral:lncRNA from 1 species
CCCCCGCCGGCCGGGCGAGGGGAUGUCUUGGCCCUUGCUGCACCUGCCCAAGCCGCGACUCAUACGCGCAAUCAGCUGGGGCCCCUACGUCCCGAGGCCUGGCACGGGGCCCGUCGCACAAUCAGAGCUUGUUUGUGGGCGGAGGAGCCACGCCGGGUGCGGCAGCCCCGCGCCAACCCACUGAUCCCAUAAAAUAUUAUUUGUGUUUUAAAAUUCCAGUAAUUGGCUAUGCAGCCGCUUUUUCCGAGCCCCGUGCCAAGCGCAGUAAAAUCGCAGUCCGGCCGGAGUUAUUUUCAUCAUGCAAAUUCCCAUUUCUGUAAACAGGGUUAAAGCCCUGGAAGGAGCCGGGGUGAACGUGUCCUCAGACUGGGAGGUGUCAGACUCCGUCCUCUCACUGCCCCGGAACUGUAUCCGGAGAAUCCCCCCAACCGCUCUCCCGGGAAGACCACCGCCAGCGCCCAGCUCGCAACCCCACUUCCGGCCUCUGCCUGGAGAGGAAGAUGAGGGAGUCGCCGCCGGGACCUUGGGUAUGGGACAUGGGUGCCGCUGCCCUGCUCUGCCCAGAUGGCCUCUGGGCUCAGGGAGCCAGAGCCGGGUCCACCCACAGGGAUUGAGCAGAGCCCGGAUUCUGAAACUGGAAGGGGAGGUAGGUAAAUAUUAUCUCUUAUCCUGUAGGAAGUUACUGUGCUGUUGCCAUGAUGCAACUAGGGCCUACUACUCGCCAGGCACUGCUUUCUCUCAUUUGAUUCCUCAAGCCUAG